rnacentral:snRNA from 1 species
AUGCUCGCUUCAGCAGCACAUACACUAAAAUUGGAAAGAUACAGAAAAGAUUAACAUGGCCCCUGCACAAGGAUGACAUGCAAACUCAUGAAGUGUUCCUUAUUUUU